UACAGAGGGGGCAAGGCGUUAUUCGGAAUUAUUGGGCGUAAAGGGCGCGUAGGCGGCGAUUCAAGUGGCGGGUGAAAGUCCCUCGGCUUAACCGAGGAACUGCCUGCCAGACUGGAUUGCUUGAGUCCGGGAGAAGUGAGUGGAAUUCCCGAGUGAGCGGUGAAAUGCGUAGAUAGUUGGGAGGAACACCAGUGGUGAAGGCGGCUCACCUG
rnacentral:rRNA from 1 species